AUGGAAAACCAGAGUGCCAAAAGAAGGUGGAUUUGGCAGUUGUUGCUCCAUGAGACGAGUUUAUUUGCCUGCUCAAAAUUCAGACCUGGAAAGGAUGAAACCAAAUGGAACGCAAAAGCUACAUGGCAGAGCACAUUUUGGGCACUGGUUCGUUUGGCGCCGUCUUUCAGGCUAAAUGCUUGGAAACUGGGGAGACGGUGGCCACUAAGAAGGUACUGUCGGGAGCUGCAGCUUAUGCGUUCGAUUAACCAUUCCAAUGUUGUCUCCCUCAAGCACUGCUUCUUCACAACCACAAGUGGAGUGAGCUGUUUCUGA
rnacentral:rRNA from 1 species